rnacentral:tRNA from 1 species
UCCCUGGUAGUUCAGAGGUUAAGACUCUGUGCUUCUAAUGCAGAUGGUGCUGGUUCAAUCCCUGACUGGAGAA